rnacentral:rRNA from 1 species
GGACGAACGCUGGCGGCGUGUUUAACACAUGCAAGUCGAACGGAAAGGCCCUGCUUUUGUGGGGUGCUCGAGUGGCGAACGGGUGAGUAACACGUGAGUAACCUGCCCUUGACUUUGGGAUAACUUCAGGAAACUGGGGCUAAUACCGGAUAGGAGCUCCUGCUGCAUGGUGGGGGUUGGAAAGUUUCGGCGGUUGGGGAUGGACUCGCGGCUUAUCAGCUUGUUGGUGGGGUAGUGGCUUACCAAGGCUUUGACGGGUAGCCGGCCUGAGAGGGUGACCGGCCACAUUGGGACUGAGAUACGGCCCAGACUCCUACGGGAGGCAGCAGUGGGGAAUAUUGCACAAUGGGCGGAAGCCUGAUGCAGCAACGCCGCGUGCGGGAUGACGGCCUUCGGGUUGUAAACCGCUUUCGCCUGUGACGAAGCGUGAGUGACGGUAAUGGGUAAAGAAGCACCGGCUAACUACGUG